rnacentral:rRNA from 1 species
UACGAAGGGGGCUAGCGUUGUUCGGAAUUACUGGGCGUAAAGCGCACGUAGGCGGAUCGAUCAGUCAGGGGUGAAAUCCCAGAGCUCAACUCUGGAACUGCCUUUGAUACUGUCGGUCUAGAGUAUGGAAGAGGUGAGUGGAAUUCCGAGUGUAGAGGUGAAAUUCGUAGAUAUUCGGAGGAACACCAGUGGCGAAGGCGGCUCACUGGUGCCAUUACUGACGCUGAGGUGCGAAAGCGUGGGGGAGCAAACAGG